UACAGAGGUCCCAAGCGUUGUUCGGAUUCAUUGGGCGUAAAGGGUGCGUAGGCGGCGCCGUAAGUCGGGUGUGAAAUUUCGGAGCUUAACUCCGAAACUGCAUUCGAUACUGCGGUGCUUGAGGACUGGAGAGGAGACUGGAAUUCAUGGUGUAGCAGUGAAAUGCGUAGAGAUCAUGAGGAAGACCAGUGGCGAAGGCUGGUCUCUGGGCAUUUCCUGACGCUGAGGCGCGAAAGCGUGGGGAGCAAACGGG
rnacentral:rRNA from 1 species